rnacentral:rRNA from 1 species
UACGUAGGGGCCGAGCGUUGUCCGGAGUUACUGGGCGUAAAGCGCGCGCAGGCGGCGGCUUUGGCCCGGCGUGAAAGCCCCCGGCCCAACCGGGGAAGGGCGUCGGGGACCGGGCCGCUUGAGGGCAGCAGGGGGUGGUGGAAUGCCCGGUGUAGUGGUGAAAUGCGUAGAUAUCGGGAGGAACACCAGUGGCGAAGGCGGCUGCCUGGGCCAGUUCUGACGCUGAGGCGCGAAAGCGUGGGGAGCAAACAGG